UACGGGGGGGGGCAAGCGUUGUUCGGAAUUACUGGGCGUAAAGCGCGCGUAGGCGGAUCUGCAAGUCGGGGGUGAAAUCCCGAGGCUCAACCUCGGAACUGCCUUCGAUACUGCGGGUCUCGAGUCCGGGAGAGGUGAGUGGAAUUCCUAGUGUAGAGGUGAAAUUCGUAGAUAUUAGGAAGAACACCAGUGGCGAAGGCGGCUCACUGGCCCGGUACUGACGCUGAGGCGCGAAAGCGUGGGGAGCAAACAGGG
rnacentral:rRNA from 1 species